CCGAAGUCCCGACGAGUCCUGAUUAAAGACUUUUGUUUGUAUAUCUUUAAUAUCAUGUAUCAUCUGCAGACGUAAACAUAUACCAUUAAAUCAUUCCCGUUGGCAAGCUUGAUGAAGAAAAAGUUCAGUGUCGCAAAUGGAUUUUCUGCGGCAGUAAACCCAAAGUUACUUUUUUGAUACAAUUUGGUGAUCUUUUCUAAUUACAUCAAACUAUCAGUAUUUAUUUACCAUAAAUACUGAUAGUUUGAAGAUGUUGGCAAACAGUAUUAACUAUGUGUAUAUAUGCAAUAUCACCAUGUGUGCCAUCAUUAAUACAGUACUAUUAACUUCUGGCUGUAGGCAUGGCUGGGUAGAAGACAGGAAUAAGACAUUGACAAAACUAAUUUUGGCGAAUCACUCUCUUUAUUUCUAAGCACAUCAAUAAUUAUUUCUUUGGCAGAAAGCUUACUCUUUGAUCAUAAUUGAAUACAAAUAACUUUUAUAUACACAGAUAAAAAGCUACGACGUCAUUUCAGGUAGGGAAGCAUAGGCGGCAGAGAGCUGUUUGCAUGGCAGAAGUCAGGAAAAAAGGGAAGCGUAGUACUCGUGACUCAGCAUUUAUAUCUUGAUCUUCCCCCUAGACCAGUACUUUCGAGAACAUUCUGGCAUGUUACGUAAUCGCUACUAUAAAUGAAGAGUUCAUGCCAUUUUUCGUGAGAUUGCUUUUCUCCACCUGCUGCUGUAAGACCCUUUGCUGCCACUCUUCCCAUCUUUCUUUGUUUGAAUAGCAUGACGGAGUAAAAUUACUGGAUUACUAGUAAAAUUAUUAAAUUUACUGUGUAUUUAGUCUAAAUUUCUAUUGCAUAUGUAAUCUUGAAGAAGCUAAAAGAAUAAAGAUUUGCCAUUUGAAUUGAAUAAAGAUGUAGAACCAAAACAGCUAA